ACGGGGGGUGCUAGCGUUGUUCGGAAUCAUUGGGCGUAAAGAGCGCGUAGGCGGCUGGAUAAGUCAGAUGUGAAAGCCCUGGGCUUAACCUAGGAAGUGCAUGUGAAACUGUUCAGCUUGAGUAAGGGAGGGGAAGGUGGAAUUCCUGGUGUAGAGGUGAAAUGCGUAGAUAUCAGGAGGAACACCAGUGGCGAAGGCGACUUACUGGCCCUAUACUGACACUGAGACGCGAGAGCGUGGGUAGCAAACGG
rnacentral:rRNA from 1 species